GACAACGUGGUCGAGUGGUCAAGAUGUUAGACUUGGAUUUGUUUUUGGUUAUCUGAUUCCUUCGGAGCGUAGGUUAUAAACCCUGCCGUUGUCG